UUGAUUAAGACGAGAAUUAAUCUCAGAGUUGCAUCCUAGAAAGUAAAGGUUCGUAGCCCUACAUUUUCUUAGUCAGUUGGGGGCCCACGUGUCACUGUAAAAGUAAUUUUAUUCUUCAGUUAUUUGAUUUAAAGUAUGUAUGAAUAUAUUUAGCUUUUACACCAUGUUUUUGGCGAGUUUCGGUAUUUUCAAAGAAAAAUGAUGAAAAUGCCCUUGUGAGCCAGAAAGUAAUAUUUUAUUGUUUUGAUUUGGAAAUGACUUAUGAUUUUUUUGAAAUGUGAGAUUUAAUAACUGUCGCUCACUGGGGAGAUGCGGAAGCUGAUGCUAAGCCUUGCGGGGUUUCGAUCGGCAUUCGGGGUAAUGAGUGCCUAUCGGGACGUCGCGGCGGUU
rnacentral:lncRNA from 1 species